GGGUUGUGAGGUUAAGCGACUAAGCGUACACGGUGGAUGCCCUGGCAGUCAGAGGCGAUGAAGGACGUGCUAAUCUGCGAAAAGCGUCGGUAAGGUGAUAUGAACCGUUACAGCCGGCGAUGUCCGAAUGGGGAAACCCAGUGUGAUUCGUCACACUAUCGUUAACUGAAUACAUAGGUUAACGAGGCGAACCGGGGGAACUGAAACAUCUAAGUACCCCGAGGAAAAGAAAUCAACCGAGAUUCCCCCAGUAGCGGCGAGCGAACGGGGAGCAGCCCAGAGUCUGAAUCAGCUUGUGUGUUAGUGGAACGGUCUGGAAAGUCCGACGGUACAGGGUGAUAGUCCCGUACACCAAAAUGCACAGGCUGUGAACUCGAAGAGUAGGGCGGGACACGUGGUAUCCUGUCUGAAUAUGGGGGGACCAUCCUCCAAGGCUAAAUACUCCUGACUGACCGAUAGUGAACCAGUACCGUGAGGGAAAGGCGAAAAGAACCCCGGCGAGGGGAGUGAAAAAGAACCUGAAACCGUGUACGUACAAGCAGUGGGAGCACCUUCGGGUGUGACUGCGUACCUUUUGUAUAAUGGGUCAGCGACUUAUAUUCUGUAGCAAGGUUAACCGUAUAGGGGAGCCGCAGGGAAACCGAGUCUUAACUGGGCGUUAAGUUGCAGGGUAUAGACCCGAAACCCGGUGAUCUAGCCAUGGGCAGGUUGAAGGUUGGGUAACACUAACUGGAGGACCGAACCGACUAAUGUUGAAAAAUUAGCGGAUGACUUGUGGCUGGGGGUGAAAGGCCAAUCAAACCGGGAGAUAAAGGUUGGGUAACACUAACUGGAGGACCGAACCGACUAAUGUUGAAAAAUUAGCGGAUGACUUGUGGCUGGGGGUGAAAGGCCAAUCAAACCGGGAGAUAAUGCAAACUACGAAUACCGAAGAAUGUUAUCACGGGAGACACACGGCGGGUGCUAACGUCCGUCGUGAAGAGGGAAACAACCCAGACCGCCAGCUAAGGUCCCAAAGUCAUGGUUAAGUGGGAAACGAUGUGGGAAGGCACAGACAGCCAGGAUGUUGGCUUAGAAGCAGCCAUCAUUUAAAGAAAGCGUAAUAGCUCACUGGUCGAGUCGGCCUGCGCGGAAGAUGUAACGGGGCUAAACCAUGCACCGAAGCUGCGGCAGCGACACUAUGUGUUGUUGGGUAGGGGAGCGUUCUGUAAGCCUGCGAAGGUGACCUGUGAGGGUUGCUGGAGGUAUCAGAAGUGCGAAUGCUGACAUAAGUAACGAUAAAGCGGGUGAAAAGCCCGCUCGCCGGAAGACCAAGGGUUCCUGUCCAACGUUAAUCGGGGCAGGGUGAGUCGACCCCUAAGGCGAGGCCGAAAGGCGUAGUCGAUGGGAAACAGGUUAAUAUUCCUGUACUUGGUGUUACUGCGAAGGGGGGACGGAGAAGGCUAUGUUAGCCGGGCGACGGUUGUCCCGGUUUAAGCAUGUAGGCUGAUUGUCCAGGCAAAUCCGGAUAAUCAAGGCUGAGGUGUGAUGACGAGGCACUACGGUGCUGAAGUAACAAAUGCCCUGCUUCCAGGAAAAGCCUCUAAGCAUCAGGUAACAUCAAAUCGUACCCCAAACCGACACAGGUGGUCAGGUAGAGAAUACCAAGGCGCUUGAGAGAACUCGGGUGAAGGAACUAGGCAAAAUGGUGCCGUAACUUCGGGAGAAGGCACGCUGGUGUGUAGGUGAAGCCCCUGCGGGUGGAGCUGAGACCAGUCGAAGAUACCAGCUGGCUGCAACUGUUUAUUAAAAACACAGCACUGUGCAAACACGAAAGUGGACGUAUACGGUGUGACGCCUGCCCGGUGCCGGAAGGUUAAUUGAUGGGGUUAUCCGUAAGGAGAAGCUCUUGAUCGAAGCCCCGGUAAACGGCGGCCGUAACUAUAACGGUCCUAAGGUAGCGAAAUUCCUUGUCGGGUAAGUUCCGACCUGCACGAAUGGCGUAAUGAUGGCCAGGCUGUCUCCACCCGAGACUCAGUGAAAUUGAACUCGCUGUGAAGAUGCAGUGUACCCGCGGCAAGACGGAAAGACCCCGUGAACCUUUACUAUAGCUUGACACUGAACAUUGAGCCUUGAUGUGUAGGAUAGGUGGGAGGCUUUGAAGCGUGGACGCCAGUCUGCGUGGAGCCAACCUUGAAAUACCACCCUUUAAUGUUUGAUGUUCUAACGUUGGCCCCUUACCGGGGUUGCGGACAGUGUCUGGUGGGUAGUUUGACUGGGGCGGUCUCCUCCCAAAGCGUAACGGAGGAGCACGAAGGUUAGCUAAUCCUGGUCGGACAUCAGGAGGUUAGUGCAAUGGCAUAAGCUAGCUUGACUGCGAGCGUGACGGCGCGAGCAGGUGCGAAAGCAGGUCAUAGUGAUCCGGUGGUUCUGAAUGGAAGGGCCAUCGCUCAACGGAUAAAAGGUACUCCGGGGAUAACAGGCUGAUACCGCCCAAGAGUUCAUAUCGACGGCGGUGUUUGGCACCUCGAUGUCGGCUCAUCACAUCCUGGGGCUGAAGUAGGUCCCAAGGGUAUGGCUGUUCGCCAUUUAAAGUGGUACGCGAGCUGGGUUUAGAACGUCGUGAGACAGUUCGGUCCCUAUCUGCCGUGGGCGCUGGAGAAUUGAGGGGGGCUGCUCCUAGUACGAGAGGACCGGAGUGGACGCAUCACUGGUGUUCGGGUUGUCAUGCCAAUGGCACUGCCCGGUAGCUAAAUGCGGAAGAGAUAAGUGCUGAAAGCAUCUAAGCACGAAACUUGCCCCGAGAUGAGUUCUCCCUGAGACUUUAAGUCUCCUGAAGGAACGUUGAAGACGACGACGUUGAUAGGCCGGGUGUGUAAGCGCAGCGAUGCGUUGAGCUAACCGGUACUAAUGAACCGUGAGGCUUAACCUUACAACGCCGAAG
rnacentral:rRNA from 1 species